UGAUAGCUGCAGUCGACGAAUCCCCGGGGGCUUGCCCCCGGGGGGAAGUGGCGAAAGGGGCAGUAAGGCGUGGGUAACCAACCCCGGGGACCGGGAUAGCCACCCUAACGGGUGGGUAAUACCGGGCGAUGUGGCCGAGGGGCAUCCCGCGGACACGAAACGAACCUCGCCUCGGGACGGGCUCACGUGGUAUUAGCUAGUAGGUGGGGUGACGGCCCACCUAGGCCAAGAUGCCUAGCGGGUGUGAGAGCACGACCCGCGCCACUGGCACUGCGACACUGGCCAGACUCCUACGGGAGGCUGCAGUCGAGGAUCUUCGGCAAUGGGCGCAAGCCUGACCGAGCGACGCCGCGUGUGCGAUGAAGGCCUUCGGGUUGUAAAGCACUGUCGAGGGGGAGGAAAGCCGGGAGACCGGCCUGACCUAUCCCUGGAGGAAGCACGGGCUAAGUUCGUGCCAGCAGCCGCGGUAAGACGAACCGUGCGAACGUUGUUCGGAUUCACUGGGCUUAAAGGGCGCGUAGGCGGGCGACCGAGUCGGGGGUGAAAUCUUUCGGCCCAACCGGAAAAGGGCCCCCGAUACUGGCCGCCUCUAGGGGGGUAGGGGCAUGCAGAACUUCCUGUGGAUCGCUGAAAUGCGUAGAUAUCGGAAGGAAGCC
rnacentral:rRNA from 1 species